rnacentral:rRNA from 1 species
CAGUCGCCACGGUAAUGCGUAGGUGGCGAGCGUUGUCCGGAAUCAUUGGGCGUAAAGGGAGCGCAGGCGGGCAUGUAAGUCUUUCUUAAAAGUUCGGGGCUCAACCCCGUGAUGGGAAAGAAACUACAUGUCUUGAGUACAGGAGAGGAAAGCGGAAUUCCCAGUGUAGCGGUGAAAUGCGUAGAUAUUAGGAAGAACACCAGUGGCGAAGGCGACUUUCUGGACUGUAACUGACGCUGAGGCUCGAAAGCCAGGGGAGCGAACGGGAUUAGAUACCCCCGUAGUCCCUGUCUCUUAUACA